CCCUAGUAACUGCGAGUGAAGCGGGAAAAGCUCAAAUUUUAAAUCUGGCGGUCUCAGGCCGUCCGAGUUGUAAUCUAGAGAAGUGAUGCCCGCGCUGGACCGUGUACAAGUCUCCUGGGAUGGAGCGUCAUAGAGGGUGAGAAUCCCGUCUCUGACACGGACUACCAGGGCUUUGUGGUACGCUCUCAAAGAGUCGAGUUGUUUGGGAAUGCAGCUCAAAAUGGGUGGUAAAUUCCAUCUAAAGCUAAAUAUUGGCGAGAGACCGAUAGCGAACAAGUACCGUGAGGGAAAGAUGAAAAGAACUUUGGAAAGAGAGUUAAACAGUACGUGAAAUUGCUGAAAGGGAAACGCUUGAAGUCAGUCGCGUUGGCCGGGAAUCAGCCUCGCUUUUGCGUGGUGUACUUUCCGGUUGACGGGUCAGCAUCAAUUUUGAUCGCUGGAAAAAGGCUUGGGGAAUGUGGCAGCUUCUGCUGUGUUAUAGCCCCAUGUCACAUACGGCGAUUGGGAUUGAGGAACUCAGCACGCCGAAAGGCCGGGUUUCGACCACGUUCGUGCUUAGGAUGCUGGCAUAAUGGCUUUAAGCGACCCGUCUUGAAACACGGACCAAGGAGUCUAACAUGCCUGCGAGUGUUUGGGUGGAAAACCCGAGCGCGUAAUGAAAGUGAAAGUUGAGAUCCCUGUCGUGGGGAGCAUCGACGCCCGGACCAGAACUUUUGGGACGGAUCCGCGGUAGAGCAUGUAUGUUGGGACCCGAAAGAUGGUGAACUAUGCCUGAAUAGGGUGAAGCCAGAGGAAACUCUGGUGGAGGCUCGUAGCGAUUCUGACGUGCAAAUCGAUCGUCAAAUUUGG
rnacentral:rRNA from 1 species